GGUUGGGCUGAAAGGAACCUUAAAGAUCACAGAACAAUUAGAUGAGUUGGAAUGGAUCCUAAAGAUGAAAGAAGCAUAGGAUGGGUUGGGCUGGAAGGAACCUUAAAGAUCACAGAACAAUAGGAUGGGGUGGAAGGGACCUCAAAGCCCACCCGGUUCCAACAGCUGCCCCAGAGCAGAGUUACUCUCCUACAAGUUCCACUUCAGGCCCAGCUAUGGGAAGGACACACCGCCAUCGGGCAGCGCCAGCGCCUUAAAAACAAGCAAAGCACAGAGAGCGACGAACGGUAUGAAAGAGGAACGGGGCCGGAACAGAACGGGGACGGCCCCACGUGGGGAUCGGAAAGAGAGGUGGUGGAGAGCCCUUUACCCUGUCAUAUUUGCUCGUCCAUCUCAAGGACAGCUGACAGCGAAGCAUCAGGUCUGCACUCCUUGUGUUUGCUCUCAGGUAGGGCUGCCCUUACGUUGUCUGUUCCCUUUACUUCUGAAGGCAGCUGACCCCUUGCUGCAGGACAGCAAUCCUAGCAUUCCUCAGCAGAAAGGAGCCAACACCUCACAGCUUCAGCCAGCAGCCCAGGCUGCUCGUUCAGAUCACAUAUUAGGAGCAAAUUCUCCUCCAAGGAGUGGUAAGGCAUUGGUACAGGCUGUGCAGUGGCUGGUCACCGUCCCUGAAGGUGUUCAGGAGCCAUGGAGAUGUGGCACUGAGGGACACCGUGGGCACGGUGGGGGUGGGAUUGGAGUUGAUGAUCUCAGAAGUCUUUUCCAACCGUUAUGAUUCUAUGAUUCUGAUCACCUGCAACGGGAUGUGAUGGAUGCCAAGCAGCAGUGCCAAUGGACCCAUCCUCAAGCAGCAAGGCUGCAGACAUCGCUCCUUCAGUGACUUCAGAAGGGCAUGUAAUAAACAAUGCAGAAGACAGGGAAGUUGAAAAACACGACUAGGAAUGCUGGCACAGACCAUGAGGCUCUCCUUGCACAGUUUGGAUACCUGAACCAUCAGAAUCCUGGCGGGUGAAAUUCAUUGCUUGGGGAUUUUGAUCAGAGCAGUGAGUGCGAGAUAUAAACUACUGUGGCUGUGCAUUCUGUGGAGUGAAAAGCAGAGAAAGAAGUCGCUCAAGUUAAAGCCUGGAACCAGAACGGUACAGAACCAAUCUCCUCACUGUUCCCCCAGAUCUGCUGAUUCAAUUUAGAACGCCAGCUUUAAAUCAGCUUUAAGUCUGCCACGGUGUGAAUGCAAACCCACAUUUUAAGAUCAGUGGACACUGACGGUGUGCUGUUCACACUUCCAGGAGCACCAGUUCAGUUGUCUGCUGGUAUCAAGGCACGGCCUUGCCAUCUCCACUCACAUCCCUUACUUUCCACUCUUACCUAAAAAGCCUUCCAGAGCAGACGCUGUGCACUUGAGCCCAAAGAAAGGGCAGAUCUGUUCUGAAGUGUAGGACAGCACUUAGAAGACUGUCUGUAAGGAUGAGAAGGAAGUUCAGUUCCUCUGGUAGCUUCAGAAUUUAAUCUAUAGCAAAGUUAGGUUGUUUUUUUGUUGUUUCUUUUUUGGCAGAAAGCACUAUCUUAUGAUGUGGGCAAUUGUCUGAAAUAUGUCAUGUAGGUGACCCAGUCCCACACCCAGCAGUAAUCGCCAAAUUCCGGGUCAGUAUUGGUUUUGAAUGACUUAAGGUGCAACAAAGAAUGAAGUUGCUUUAUCCCGGUGUUCUUCACCCAUGUCUCAGCAGGCACCCACGCUGCAUCCUUUGAGCAGUUGUAGCUCAUGCAGCUGUCAGAAAAUGUACUUUAGAUGCCAGUGUAGUUGUUUCAAAGAAGAACAUGUGAGCUGAAGCCAGGUGACGUUUACAUUAAAGUAGCUUGGUAAGUAGCUACCAGCCCAUACAUGCUUCCAUUUCAGACUUGUCUUCACAUUUUAAUUCUUCCCAGCUUUGCUUUUACACACCAAAGCCACAGUAUCACACUGUUAUGAUUACUAAUAUCUUUUUCAUGUCAAGAACCCAGUCCUUCUCUACCAAAACUGAGUACCCUCACCCCCAUUGCUUCCUCCAUCACUUCCAGGGCAGCUCUGGCAUCUCACAGCAAGGCAGCAUCGUUCUGCUCUCACUGCUUACAGACAGGGAUUGCAAGUUGGUGCAGCUCUCAGGGCUGUGCAGGCAGAUCUGUGCACACACAGAUCAUUCAGGCAAUUAAAGUCAGUAACUGGAGAAGCUGGUGGAGCCCGUCAGCCAUCUGCUUUGUUGGAGGAGGAGGGCCUACAGUGAAGCCCUGCUGGAAGCUCUGUUAGUUAUGUAAAGCAGUAAACCGAAAUAAGAUUGGUGUGUGGGGAGCACUGUAAGGUGAGGCACAGUUUGGGCCAAAUCACUCCAUCUCCUCCGUACAAUUCAAUGACUGCAUCGCUCCAUUGGUGCUUCAGUAAUUAAUAGCCCUCUCCUUCCAAAGCAUCUCACGGCUUCUCAGGCAGUUGCUGUCCUUUCACUCAUCCUGAGCACCAAGAGAAGAGUUAAGCAUUAAGGAAUGAAAAAACAACAAAACUUGUGAAAAGAAAUAAGACAAACCAGCAAAGCACACUGGCUGCUACAGACAGAACUGCUCCAGCUGAAGUGACCUGGAGGUACUUCCAUGUGCCCAUGCUCCUUGGGCCUUCUUCCAGAAGGAAGGAUUAGCAGCAGUAUGAUCUCUCAGUCCCUGUCCCCACUGCACUGCUCACCAACCCAUGAAAACAUCAAUUCCAGCUGUGAUGAGAGGCAGAGGUCUCAGAAGCAGGAAGCUGUCCUAAUAAAAGCCGAGACAGAUGUGUUGUCGUCCCACUGAAGGAGAGGCAGAGAACAAUUCAGCUUUCAGCCACGCAAACAGCACGUGCAAACCUGUGGGCAUACAGCUGACGGUCCUUUGUGCAGGCAGCAGGUAGAACAGUUGGGAGACACAGCAAAUGAAUGGAAAGCAACCUCUGCAGCAGUAAAUGCUGCCAUUGCUGGCAGGGCAGCACAGGAAGCGGAGAAGUCCUUGGCUGAGUGUAAGUGCUGCUCAGCAACAACUAAAACAUCACUGUGUUAUCAGCAGUGUUUUCCUCCUAAAUGCCAAACGGCACCAAGCUGCUGUAAGGGCUGUGAGCCAUCGCAGCCACAGCCGGGGCACGAGCCAAAGGAAAAAUGGAGAAAGAAAUAUGAAACAGUGCAGUCACAGCUCUCACAACAGGAGGCUGAGCUUUGUAGGAAGCUGAUGGUUGACAGGGCUGUGACACGCUGCAUUACCAUUUUGCUGAUUAGGCUCUAUUUUAUCAAUAUUUCUGUUAUGUAGCUGAACUGUAUGAGCAAAGCAAUGGACACACAAAGAUUUCUUCAAUUUAAAGGAACUUCUUGAAUCAAGAUCUCUGUGCAGUUUACAAUGAAGAACAAAUGAAGCUUUCUUCCUUUUAUCCUGGUGGAUGAAACACUGACCAUGAGCCAGCAGUGCGCUCCUGCAGCUCAAAAAGCAGAUGGGAUCCUGGGCUCCAUCAGCAGAGGGGUGGCCAGCAAGGACAGGGAGGGGAUUGUCCCUCUCUGCUCUGCCCUUAUGGGGCCCCAUCUGCAGCACUGCACCCAGGUGUGGGGCCCCCAAUACAGGAAA